CAAUAGCGUAUAUUAAAGUUGUUGCAGUUAAAAAGCUCGUAGUUGGAUUUCGGGGUGGCCUGCCUGGUCCACCGCAAGGUGAGUACUGGUCAGCCGCCCUUCCUCUCGAAAGCCCCGACUGCUCUUCAUUGCAGUGGUCGGGUAGUUCGGGACGUUUACUUUGAAAAAAUUAGAGUGUUCAAGGCAGGCUCUCGCCUGAAUACAUUAGCAUGGAAUAAUGGAAGAGGACCUCGGUCCUAUUUUGUUGGUUUCUAGGGCCGAAGUAAUGAUUAAGAGGGACAGUUGGGGGCAUUCGUAUUUAAUUGUCAGAGGUGAAAUUCUUGGAUUUAUGAAAGACGAACUAGUGCGAAAGCAUUUGCCAAGGAUGUUUUCAUUGA
rnacentral:rRNA from 1 species